ACGUAGGGGGCGAGCGUUGUUCGGAUUUACUGGGCGUAAAGAGCGCGUAGGCGGUUCGAUAAGUCGGAGGUGAAAUCCCUCGGCUCAACCGAGGACCCGCGUACGAUACUGUGGAACUUGAGUGCAGGAGAGGAGACCGGAAUUCCCAAUGUAGGGGUGAAAUGCGUAGAUAUUGGGAGGAACACCGGUGGCGAAGGCAGCUCUCUGGACUGUCACUGACGCUGAGGUGCGAAAGCUAGGGGAGCAAACGG
rnacentral:rRNA from 1 species